CCUACGGGGGGCUGCAGUGGGGAAUUUUUCGCAAUGGGCGCAAGCCUGACGACGCAACGCCGCGUGGAGGAUGAAGGUCUUCGGAUUGUAAACUCCUGUUGAUCGGGACGAAAAGCUUCAACCUAAUACGUUGAAGACUGACGGUACCGGUUGAGGAAGCCACGGCUAACUCUGUGCCAGCAGCCGCGGUAAUACAGAGGUGGCAAGCGUUGUUCGGAAUUACUGGGCGUAAAGGGCGCGUAGGCGGCCUUCUAAGUCGGACGUGAAAGCCCCAGGCUUAACCUGGGAACUGCGUCUGAUACUGGGAGGCUUGGAUUCGGGAGAGGGAUGUGGAAUUCCAGGUGUAGCGGUGAAAUGCGUAGAUAUCUGGAGGAACACCGGUGGCGAAGGCGGCAUCCUGGACCGAGAUCGACGCUGAGGCGCGAAAGCUAGGGGAGCAAACGGGAUUAGAUACCCUGGUAGUC
rnacentral:rRNA from 1 species